GAUGAACGCUGGCGGCGUGCCUAAUACAUGCAAGUCGAGCGAACAGACGAGGAGCUUGCUCCUCUGACGUUAGCGGCGGACGGGUGAGUAACACGUGGAUAACCUACCUAUAAGACUGGGAUAACUUCGGGAAACCGGAGCUAAUACCGGAUAAUAUAUUGAACCGCAUGGUUCAAUAGUGAAAGACGGUUUUGCUGUCACUUAUAGAUGGAUCCGCGCCGCAUUAGCUAGUUGGUAAGGUAACGGCUUACCAAGGCGACGAUGCGUAGCCGACCUGAGGGGGUGGUCGGCCAGACGGGAAGUGAGACUCGUCCCAGACUCCGACGGGGGGCAGCAGUAGGGAAUCUUCCGCAAUGGGCGAAAGCCUGACGGAGCAACGCCGCGUGAGUGAUGAAGGUCUUCUGAUCGUAAAACUCUGUUAUUAGUGAAGAACAAAUGUGUAAGUAACUAUGCACGUCUUGACGGUACCUAAUCAGAAAGCCACGGCUAACUACGUG
rnacentral:rRNA from 1 species